ensembl:snoRNA Gm23484 small nucleolar RNA SNORA17
CCUGCCCUUAGAGGCAUUGCAGAAGUGGCUGCUGGGUCACAUAUCCACCACUAGGUGGCAGAGAGGAGAAAGCCCAUGUCUAUGUUCAGUGUUCUGACCUGUGAAUAACUGAAUGAUUAGUAGCCUAAGAUU